UCUGGGGUUCUUAUAGGGCUGGAGCAAUAUCUGUGGGGUCCUUAUAGGGCUGGGGCAAUAUGGGAUCCUGUGGGGUCCUUAUAGGGCUGGGAGGAUAUGGAGUCCUAUGGGGUCCUUAUAGGGCUGGGGCAAUAUGGGGUCCUGUGGGGUCCUUUUAGGGCUGGGAGGAUAAAGGGGUCCUGUGGGGUCCUUAUAGGGCUGGGGCAAUAUGGCAUCCUGUGGGGUUCUUAUAGGGCUGGAGCAAUAGGGGGUCCUGUGGGGUCCUUAUAGGGCUGAGGGGAUAAUGGGACCGCUCAGUGUUUAGUAUAGGGGAUAUGGGGUCCCUACGGGAGCCUAUGGGACCCCCCUCACCCCAUUGUCUUCCCCACCCCCCCCAGGUCCUUCCCUAGCAAUUACUGGGACAAGUUCGUCAAGAGAAAGGUGUUGGAGAAAUAUGGGGACAUUUAUGGCCGUGAGCGCAUCGCGGAGCUGCUGGGGAUGGAGCUCUCCAGCCUCGAAAUCGGGGCACGGGGGGAGAGGAAGCCCCCCCCCGACAACUCCGUGCUCACCUGGAUCACCUCCAUCGAUAUCCGCUAUCAGAUCUGGAAGUUUGGGGUCAUCUUCACUGAUAACGUGAGUGGGGGGGGGGACACGACCCCAAAACUCUGCUGACCCCACAUCCCUGCUGACCCCAUUGACCUCACAUCUCCGCUGCCCCUAUUGACACCACUGACCCCUCUGACCCCACAUAACCACUGUCCCCAUUGACCCCACUGUCCCCAGUCCCC